GCAUUGGUACCUUUCAGGGCCGACACCCACCGAAGUUGGUCGGAUUAAGUUGACACUCGAGCCUAAAGCGGUUUUUCCUUCACGUUUUUUUUUUUUCUGUUUUCGGGAAACGAGACCGGUCAGCGCCAUCAUCGUCAUAGCGCACGGCAGCAUUACUGGUCCCCGGAAUCCCGCAGUUGUUUGCAACGUAUUUUUAUCAAUUUCCGCCAGUGAUCCCGAAAAAUGAACACUUCCGCCCGGUGAAUCCCGUGUGUCCCGCUAUCUCUGGUGGGUUGUAUAUAUAUAUUUUUAUCUCGACCAAACAAUAUUCUAAAAAAAAAAAAACCAACUACGAACAAACAUAAAAGUAUAUAGGUACCGACCCAUAUAGUUUUCCUGCCUCCCUUCUCUGUUCCUAGAUACUAUAUUGUCGACCACAUUAUUUUCACACGAGUAUUAUUAUUAUUAAACAAUACAGGUUGAUAGUUUUUAGUUUU